rnacentral:rRNA from 1 species
UACGAAGGGUGCAAGCGUUAAUCGGAAUUACUGGGCGUAAAGGGUGCGUAGGCGGUUUGUUAAGUCUGUUGUGAAAUCCCCGAGCUCAACUUGGGAAUUGCAAUGGAUACUGGCAGGCUGGAGUAUGGUAGAGGAAGGUGGAAUUCCCGGUGUAGCAGUGAAAUGCGUAGAGAUCGGGAGGAACACCAGUGGCGAAGGCGGCCUUCUGGACCAAUACUGACGCUCAUGCACGAAAGCGUGGGGAGCAAACAGG